GGGGAUGUGUUUCAAUGGUAGAGUGUUUGCCUAGCAUCCACGAGGUCCUGGGUUCAAUUCCUAGCAUCCACC
rnacentral:tRNA from 1 species